rnacentral:tRNA from 1 species
GGGGUUGUGGCUCAGCGGUAGAGUGCUUGCCUUCCAAAUGUGCAAGACCCUGGGUUCGAUCUUCAGCACCACA